UACGGAGGGUGCGAGCGUUGUCCGGAAUCACUGGGCGUAAAGGGCGCGUAGGCGGCCUGAUAAGUAGGGGGUGAAAUCCUGCGGCUUAACCGCAGGGCUGCCUUCUAAACUGUCAGGCUAGAGCACAGUAGAGGCAGGUGGAAUUCCCGGUGUAGCGGUGGAAUGCGUAGAGAUCGGGAAGAACACCCGUGGCGAAGGCGGCUCUCUGGGACGGUACUGACGCUGAGACGCGAAAGCGUGGGGAGCGAACAGG
rnacentral:rRNA from 1 species